UUUUCCAAGGCUGCACAUUGUUUUGGCCUCCAUUAUUGGGCACUCUCUUUCUGUUACUCACAAUAUGCAGCAGAGCCCUCCCCUUUGCUAACUGACUGUCAAUAACCACAAGGUCCAUAACAGAAGAAAUGUCAAUAUGUUAAUAGUUCAUCACAGUGAUUUUAGCCUUAUUGAAGUCGAUGAAAAUGCACAAUAUCUUCCAUUCCCUUAUGGUCUUACUGCAAUUCAACUAAAAACAUGUUACUGAUGCAUAAAAGUAAUCCCAUUGUGCCACAUCACCAUAGUAAAUCUAAUGGAGCAUCUAUCGUAACCCAAACAAUAGUUGUAGGCCUCCUUGAUCUUCUUGGUGAACUCCACCACCACUAUUUGCCUGCCUUCAUUGCCAUUCCCAAACACCAACUCUCAAUGUCUUGAUGUCAGUCAUGGGGACAAGUCCCCUAUCUUCCGAUUUGAUCUUUGUUGUGUCACUGACAAUGAAUAACAAAUUGAUUUUGUAUUCAUUGCAUUACUUUCAAAAGAUUGGAACAAACCACUUAUAAUUGCAACUUUCUUUGUUGGGGUUUUUAAUAAAGAUGGUGAGGUGGGUGGUGUGAUCUGGAGGCAAUGCAAAGGUUGAAUUGGGAGGUUUGGACAAUGCAGAGGGAGAAUCAUCAUAACAAUGAUCAUGUCAUUUCAAAACCCUGCACUGUCAACUAACCCAUAAAACUUCUAGAAUCUUUUCCCUCAAUUCUACCCCCAUCUCCUUGUUUGUAUUCAUUCAUCACAACCAAACCCAAUCUUCAUUGGUUUUCUACAUUCUUUCAAGUAGAAGAAGAAGAAACUCAUAUAUCUCAUGAAGGUAUAUUUAGUUGACUUGUGAUUGUCAAAAGUAUCCUGUUAUGAAACAUCAAUUAUAUGUGAAAGCUUUAAUGCCUAAGACAUUCUGUUCUUACUUUCUCUUUGUUAUGAAGGUAAUGCUUCAGUACUACAUUGAACGGCAAUGCUUAUUGAAGUGUACCUGUCAGAUUAUCAUGCAUACAUGGAAGUCCAUUAUGCAGCUGGUUUAAUUCCAUUUCACACUUGACAAUCCAGUAGUUCCAAUUGGUGGGAUAGAAACAAUCUUGGUAAUCAAGGUUUCUGCAGAGUCAGCUAACCAGUUUGGGGAACUGGUGGCUGAUCCAGUUACCAAUGAACUGUUGCAUUACACCGGGAAACCUGAUACUUUUGUAUGUACAAGAUCACAGAUUCAACUACUUUUUGUCUUUUGACAUUGCUUACUCAUGACACCGUUGGUAUAUGUCUAAUGUCUUCUUUCCGUUUUGUCUGAAAUUGUAUGCGCUGCAUGUAAGUGAUCGAAUAAAUUGCGGUGUUUAUAUAUUUACACCAGAUAUUUUUAAUGCAAUUCAAGGUGUUUCCACACAACGGAAAGAUAGAGGAACAAUCAUUAGCUAAUGUGAAUAAUAUGAUGCAAAUGAAGACAAAACAUCGAUGUGGAUCAAAAUCAAUCCCGGUCAGGGUAUACAGCUCGAUUUGAGAUUAGAUAUGGAUAUGUUUGGUAAUCUGGAGAGCAGAAGCUAGCUCAUUUUGUGUUUUUCUUCAUUUUACCUUACAUGUAUUUUGGUUACAUUGUAAAUUUUAUAUUUUUGUGGGUAUUACAGGACAUGUUUGGUCAUCCGCACUUGAUAUUAUAUUUUUGUAAAUAUUAGUAGACAUGUUUUUUGUGGAUAUUAAGAGACGUGUUUGGUAAUC